rnacentral:piRNA from 1 species
UGGGUUCCUAAACGAUAAAGCCUGG